rnacentral:RNase_P_RNA from 3 species
CGAGUAAGCCGGACAGCUGCGGGUGUACGCCGAAAGGCCGCAUCUGAGGAAAGUCCGAGCUCCACAGGGCGAGAAUAACGGCUAACGGCCGCCGGGGGCGACCCCAGGGAAAGUGCAACAGAGAUAUACCGCCUGCAUUGCAGGUAAGGGUGGAAAGGUGCGGUAAGAGCGCACCGGCGCGCAGGAGACUGCGCGGCCAUGUAAACCCUAUUCGGAGCAACAUCGUGGAGAAACAUAUACGUCGGCCCGGCGGUUUCGAGGAGAUGGCUUGAGCUGCACGGCAACGUGCAGACGAGAAAGAUGGUUGUCCAAGACAGAACUCGGCUUAUAGGUUUAGUCGCAAU